rnacentral:pre_miRNA from 1 species
GUAGUACUCCCUCCGUCCGGAAAUACUUGUCAUCAAAAUGAAUAAAAAGGGAUGUAUCUAGAUGUAUUUUAGUUCUAGAUACAUCCCUUUUUGUCCAUUUUGAUGACAAGUAUUUUCGGACGGAGGGAGUAAUAU